UACAGAGGUGGCAAGCGUUGUUCGGAAUUACUGGGCGUAAAGGGCGCGUAGGCGGCCCACUAAGUCAGACGUGAAAUCCCCCGGCUUAACCUGGGAACUGCGUCUGAUACUGGAGGGCUUGAGUAUGGGAGAGGGAUGUAGAAUUCCAGGUGUAGCGGUGAAAUGCGUAGAUAUCGGGAGGAACACCAGUGGCGAAGGCGAGUCUCUGGGAUGAUGCUGACGCUGAGGCGCGAAAGCCAGGGGAGCAAACGGG
rnacentral:rRNA from 1 species